ACCUGCGGAAGGAUCAUUCU
rnacentral:rRNA from 1 species